GGUGAGAUGGCCGAGUUGGUUAUGGCGCCAGGUUAAGGUUCUCUUAACAUCAUUUCCUGGUCACGAAAGUGGCGUGGGUUCGAGUCCCACUCUCAUCA